AUUGAACGCUGGCGGCAGGCCUAACACAUGCAAGUCAAGCGGUAGAGCGAAGCUUGCUUCUCUUGAGAGCGGCGGACGGGUGAGUAAUGCCUAGGAAUCUGCCUGGUAGUGGGGGAUAACGUUCGGAAACGGACGCUAAUACCGCAUACGUCCUACGGGAGAAAGCAGGGGACCUUCGGGCCUUGCGCUAUCAGAUGAGCCUAGGUCGGAUUAGCUAGUUGGUGGGGUAAUGGCUCACCAAGGCGACGAUCCGUAACUGGUCUGAGAGGAUGAUCAGUCACACUGGAACUGAGACACGGUCCAGACUCCUACGGGAGGCAGCAGUGGGGAAUAUUGGACAAUGGGCGAAAGCCUGAUCCAGCCAUGCCGCGUGUGUGAAGAAGGUCUUCGGAUUGUAAAGCACUUUAAGUUGGGAGGAAGGGCAGUAAAUUAAUACUUUGCUGUUUUGACGUUACCGACAGAAUAAGCACCGGCUAACUCUGUG
rnacentral:rRNA from 1 species